rnacentral:rRNA from 1 species
AUUGAACGCUGGCGGCAUGCCUUACACAUGCAAGUCGAACGGCAGCGCGGACUUCGGUCUGGCGGCGCGUGGCGAACGGGUGAGUAAUACAUCGGAACGUACCCUGUUGUGGGGGAUAACUAGUCGAAAGAUUAGCUAAUACCGCAUACGACCUGAGGGUGAAAGUGGGGGACCGCAAGGCCUCACGCAGCAGGAGCGGCCGAUGUCUGAUUAGCUAGUUGGUGGGGUAAAGGCCCACCAAGGCGACGAUCAGUAGCUAGUCUGAGAGGACGAUCAGCCACACUGGGACUGAGACACGGCCCAGACUCCUACGGGAGGCAGCAGUGGGGAAUUUUGGACAAUGGGGGCAACCCUGAUCCAGCAAUGCCGCGUGUGUGAAGAAGGCCUUCGGGUUGUAAAGCACUUUUGUCCGGAAAGAAAUCGCGCUGGUUAAUACCUGGCGUGGAUGACGGUACCGGAAGAAUAAGCACCGGCUAACUACGUG